rnacentral:lncRNA from 1 species
UUUGUAUUUUAACCUGCCUGGAAAUAGAUUUGAGGCCUGGGAGUGGAAAAGUCAUCUUGUAACCAUAAAGAUGAAGAUCACACAAUGAGAUGGCAGAACAAGAAACCAAGAAAAGCCUAGGUCCUUGUUGAACUCCUAAGGCAUCUUCCGAAGUCGUAAGCAGAUGCUCUCUCUGGAGCUCCUGUUAUAUGAGAAAAAUGGCCUUCUGCUUGGCUAAGCUGGUGUAAUCAGGUUUCUAUGGACAAAGGUAAUCCUAACCAACUCUGUGUGCCAACCGUGGUUUGGGCUAGAGGAAAUGAGGAGCUGUCAAGAUUCCAGAGGGGUAACAAGGGCUGUAGACAAGAAAGCUAUAAUUCUGUAGAGUGGAAGAGUUUGGAAAAUGACCUAGGAAACUCCUGCAGCUGCCAGGCAAUGACUGGGUAAACAGAGGGGCUGCACAUUAGCCUGUGCUCAGGUGCCCAGGAUUGGUCUGGUUGUAGGGCAGGAUCAUGCAGGAAACACACAUCAGGGUGACUUCUGGCUAUGAUAUAAAAGUGCGAUAGGAAGGACAUUCCACACUCUUCCCAACAUCAGCCACUGUUAGAUCCUCAGCCUGUGGGGCCAAUGCUGUUUUCCAAGUGCUCUUCUAGGUCAUGUUGAAGAAAUCUGUACACCAUCUCCUGUGCUUUCUCUUCCAGGGCUCUAACCCGAGCUUCAAGCCCCAUUUGUAUGCAGCUGUCCGUGGGUGUCAGUAGUUGUUUGACUUAGCAGUGCCGAGAGCCCCGGGUUGGGAGUGGAGAGAAAAAAGGGAAGAGCUGCAUUCCAGGCAACAUGUGCCUAGAAGGACCUGCCCUCUCCUGCUCACUUUUAAAAAGGCUCCAUAGUCAAGGAAAGUUUAUUUUGGCAUCAUUUGCAAUUCUGUGCCUGAUGAUCAUAUCUGAAAAUCGGAGAUGGAGGUGCAGAAAGCUGGAAAGAGCCCACGGCCUUCACAGAUGUAUGGAACCACCCUAUAGCCCUCAAUUGCCUCUCUCUGAACUUCUUUCUUGUGAGAAAUAAAC